ANNAACACAGGGAUUGCCUCAGUAACGGCGAGUGAAGCGGCAACAGCUCAAAUUUGAAAUCUGGCUCCUCUGGGGCUCGAGUUGUAAUUUGUAGAAGAUGCUUUGGGAACGGCGCCGGUCUAAGUUCCUUGGAACAGGACGUCACAGAGGGUGAGAAUCCCGUAUGUGACCGGCUGCCCGCCCCGUGUAAAGCUCUUUCGACGAGUCGAGUUGUUUGGGAAUGCAGCUCAAAAUGGGUGGUAAAUUUCAUCUAAAGCUAAAUAUUGGCCAGAGACCGAUAGCGCACAAGUAGAGUGAUCGAAAGAUGAAAAGCACUUUGGAAAGAGAGUUAAACAGUACGUGAAAUUGUUGAAAGGGAAGCGCUUGCAACCAGACUUGCACGUAGUUAAUCAUCUGGUGUUCUCACCGGUGCACUUGGCGACGUUCAGGCCAGCAUCGGUUCAGGUGGUGGGAUAAAGGCCUUGGGAAUGUAGCUUCUCUUGGGGAGUGUUAUAGCCCUCGGUGCAAUGCCGCCUACCUGGACCGAGGACCGCGCUCCGGCUAGGAUGCUGGCGUAAUGGUUGUAAGCGACCCGUCUUGAAACACGGACCAAGGAGUCUAACAUCUAUGCGAGUGUUUGGGUGUCAAACCCAUACGCGUAAUGAAAGUGAACGGAGGUGAGAACCCUUAAGGGUGCAUCAUCGACCGAUCCUGAUGUCUUCGGAUGGAUUUGAGUAAGAGCAUAGCUGUUGGGACCCGAAAGAUGGUGAACUAUGCCUGARUARGGUGAAGCCAGAGGAAACUCUGGUGKAGGCUCGCAGCGGUUCUGACGUGCAAAUCGAUCGUCAAAUUUGGGUAUAGGGGCGAAAGACUAAUCGAACCAUUAGCCGUAGGCUACGUUUCAACGAUAAUGCUCUACUAGGUGGUCGAGAGGCAUAUAAGAGUUAUGCCUAGCCCUAUGUCAAAGGGUGACAUUGUCAAAUUGCGGGGACGUCCUGCUCAACUUAGGUACGGCCCCCUGUUGAAAGACCCGUGCCCCCCCGGGUAGUGACCUAGGGUAUUGUAAUAACGGUUAGGUAGGGAUUAUUCGCAACUCAACCCUUAGGGAGAGAUUCUUCCGGGUAAGUUCCCCGGCUAAAAGGCGAUGGGCUUGAUGUUACCGGCUUAAGAUAUAGUUGAACCCCCGGGAGGCCGGAUAGUAAGAACAGAGGAUCGUGGAAUUGACACUAGCAACCCUCGAGGUUUUUAGUCCACGUUUCCCGAGUCUAACUAGAAUGUUGGCUUAUGCUAAUGUUUGGGAUCUUCCGAGUCCCUAGACGUGAAUGAUCUUUAGAAGCUUCGAGUGGGGUGCUUGUCCAGGUGGCCUCCCAUCGAGACGGGCACGCUAUAGCGCUGAAGGUUAUUUGCACUAGGGCUCUCGAAGAUUAAAUGNUUA
rnacentral:rRNA from 1 species